rnacentral:lncRNA from 1 species
AAUGAAACUAGUUCUACAAGCUAGCAUCAAGUCAGUUUCAGCAUGCCCCACAAGUCGGAUCCCACCUUCAGAGCCCACUUUCGUCAUCGUCUUCCUCCAGCGAUCGGCACUUGGACAUCACCUUCCUCCGAUAGUUGCAAGUGCCCCAGUUUUCUCUGUUGACUCUCCUCGACUGUUAUCGGCUCCGUCAAGCAAUCACACCACCUCCAGCAAGUAUCAUGUGCAUCAAAUUAUCUCCAGUAUGUAUCACCUGCACUAAGUUAGAUAAUUUGCACAGUUCCUCUAUAUGGCAUUGAUAAAUUCGUUACUGAUCAUGGAUCAAUGAAUUGGGUUGCUUACCAUGAUAAAACCAAUUGAUGAAGUACAGAAGAACAAACGGACAGGCAGAUAGCAAACUUCAAACAUCUGCAAGAUGCAAGUCCUUUUUCUAUUGUAAGUUAUUUCAAUUAUGUAAGCAAUUUCAAAAUUAUGUAUGACUUUUUACAUUACUUUUACAUGGUCAAAUUCUUUCACUAGUGAGAAGGUAGGGAUCACUAUACGGGGAAAUAUUUUAGCAAAUAUGGUAAAUGGAAGUUUGGCACAAAAAACAGUCAUGUCUGUCACUUCCAAUUUAAUUCAAGUAUCAAAGGUGAGAACUUUAAACUAUUUUUGCAAUACCUCCAAAUCCAAUGUUUUUAAUCGUUUAUCCAUAACUAUGGUGAUUAUUGGACUCAAUAAAUGCAUGUAUAGUUACUGUCAAAAAGAAGGUGAUUUUAAGAAAGACUACACCGAAACUUUACACAUGUCAAAAUUCUUACCAACAAGAAAUUUAAAAGAGUACCUGCAAAAAUAAGUUACACAUGUCAAAACUUUACAUUUUAAUUUUAAGAAAAACAAAUGUCCAAUUUUAUAUUUUAAACUAUAUGGUAUUCUACCUUACCUUACUCGAAGGACAGGACAAAAAUCAUGAUCAUUUUUGCAUUGGUGGUACCAAUGACAUGGUACUCUAAGCUAAGAAAGAAGGUUCUUUUCUUUUUAUGUUUGAACGGAUAUGCACCAGCAGCUUGGUGCUACAAUCCCACAUAUGCAUCUAUCAACACAUUUAGUUUUCUAUUAAAGCUAGCUUAGCAGGGGAAAUAUAUUAUCCCUACUCCUAAUGGAUGAGUUGGUUGAAUAGUAUCCAUGGUUUAUUUUCGUCCCACCACUUUCGCCUGUUUUUUUUUCGUGUGCGUCGUCUGUACCCAAGUCAAUAACCAUGUGCAUCACGCUGGAUCGGAUCAAGCGUCGCCCCUUCCGCCCACCUCACGUUCCUCUCUUCCAAUGGAGCACCGCCGCCGCCGCCGCGUCCCCCAUCUCACACGCAGGACUAGCUUGCUGCCCUCCACUGGUCGCUGCCACUCGCACCUCAACUCGGUCACCGCCAGCCUCCCCCUCCACUACAUCGCCCCGUCCCGACGCUCGCCCAUCUCCAAUGCCCGCCCCUCCACUUGAUUGACAUCGGCAACGACUGCUGCUCACCAUGCGCGGAUCUGGCCUUCGCAUAGUACUCGUGUGAACAACAUCUCCACUUCUACACCUCUACCCAACCCUCUACUGGGCUAGCCACGAAGGGCCAACGCCUCAUCGAGGAUGCCACGAAGAGGACGUUGGGACAGCUCCUAUCCAGGGUCGCGACCGCCAUGCCGGGGGCGAAGGGUGAGGCCGAGUUCGAUGAGGAGGCGUGGACACGAGGCCUAACUAUCUACUAUAAAUUGGCUUUCCCACUGUCACUGUGAGAUUGGAUUGUUGUUCCCUUUUGUGCACAUGAUUGUUCCACUUGUGAUUUAUCAUAUAUGAAUUGCUCCUUGGCAUCCUUUUGAUCCAGCGUGAUUUCUUCCUUCUUCUCAUCUUGUUAACUACUGGUUGUGUUUGUUCUCUCGCGAAAAGCCAGGACUUGGAGUUGCCUGCGAUGGUGGAGCUCGGCAUGUUGGCAGAUCUGACCGGACUGGUGAGCCCUCUGCCCACACUUGUUGAGGUCACCCUGCUUUGUGCCAUGCUCGGUAACUCACCCUCGCUGAUGGGGAUGUUAUGCACAAAAUGCUGAUGAAGUUGUGUACUGAUUCAAUGAACUAAAUUUUAAUUAGUUGAUGGUGAACAUAUUUGUAGACAGGAUGAGGCCUGAAGAUGGUAAAAUCUGACUGGGCACUUCAAAUAAUCGGCACCAUUCCUGCCUUCAAAGAAGGUUGUUCUUACGUAGAAUCAAGCAGCACAUACAAGGUGAGCACAACAAUUCAGUUAUUCUAUUUAAUAUAUGUGACGUUGAAUUACCUCCAGUUAAAGGUCUUUCAGUAAAGGCAGAUGAUGCUUCAAAUACUCUUAAUUCUCAUAGGUUUGUUAUAUUUUUUCACGUAAAUGAGGUGUUGCAACUAGGUCAACUCUGCAAGAGCUUGGGAUAUUUGAGGGAACUUCGAAUCCAUUAACUAAAUUAGGAUCUUCAUAUUCCGCCUUAGUUCUACAAAAAUGAGUUAUGCUCUAGUGUUUAGUCUGGAAAGCUCUGCCAUAAGAAGUGUUAUUCAUCAUUGCAAAAUAUUGAUAUUUCUGACAGUGUUUAACGCUCCGCAUAUACAGUUUUUGGAUUUUGCGUGAAUGAUACUUUCUAAAUAUUUAUGACCAUUCCAGCAUUCUAAUAGGUAUAGUAUUUUGUACGUCUUCCGUAGUUGCUCAAUUGGAGCUUGUAAACUGUAUUUGCACAUUUUUCUCCUCCUCUACGAAUGUCUCACUGACCCCUCUUUUUUGAUCUCAAAAUUCAGAUGAAACUUAUUUUUAAAAUCAGUACAUCUGGUCUGUGUCCGUAGCUAGCUGAUGGUUGAUGACUGUGCAUUCAUAUUGUUUAUGUAGUUACUGAAAGGUCCUUUUAAUGCAUACUUUACAUUGAGCUGAUACCUGAUAGACAAGGUAAAGUCUAGCACGUAAUCAUAGUAAUUCAUGAGGAUACAUGCAAAACCAGUAUGCUCAUAGGUCCUAACAUUUUUUGUGAUGCUUUUACUUGCUAAAUAAAUAAACUCUCUACAUCUCUGUACUACAUGAGAUAUUUGAUUGAGAAGUCAAAUAUCGUCUGAUAACCAUUGAAACAACAUAUGCAUUGAUUUGUUAAACAUAAUGGAACACAUGAAAUGUAUAUACGGGCAUGCCCUUAUGUGAAAUUGUAUUAAAUUGCUUUGAUGCUAAUGCAUGACAUUUGAUACUUGACAACCUUGGAUAUUUACUGAGAUAAAAGAACAUAGGGACUGGGAUAUCACAUCUGGUGAGAGAUUGAGUAUUCUAAAAGAUUUUAUGCGUUUCGGUCUCGAACACUCGGGCUCUGACACCAAAGGUGAGUCCUCUCAUCUCUGAGAGUAUGUAGAAAUCGUGACAUUUUCUUUGUCAUUUUUUCAUGGGGAGGGUGUGAUUAUUGAAAACUCAUGUUGGGUGUGAUAUUGUACAACAAGGAAGAAGCUUUUCACUAGUUGAAGACAGAAGGUCUAGCCUGUCUCACCGUGAUGUAGAAUUGGUGUUUAAUGGGGCAUUACCAAGCUUUGAAUAAAAACUAAUUUUGCUUUCUUGGCAAGGACUCUCGGAGGGAAGGAGCUUCAUGUUGUGAACAUUGUUAUUUUCAAUACAUAACUUUUUGUUGGUUAGCUGACAUUUUUUGAUAAAGAAAUAGUCUAAUGUUGUUUAUGAUGCAUGAGUUACUUUUAGUGGAGCUGAUCCGUUAAGAGUAUUUGUGAAGGCUUUGGAGUUGGCAAUCUGAGCAGCCUGUAUGAUAAAUGGAAGUGUGUGCGUUCAUCCAAAGCAUUCACAGAACAAAUCUUCAUUUUGGCUACUGCAGAGUGCAGAGAACGAAAUCUUUUACCUGAUUAAUUGGUAUGUUUGCUACACCUAGUCUCCUAUUUUAUGUUUGAGUUUGCAAAGCAUCGUCAGUCAGCUUACACUUUUUUAACCUGGUGAUUAAAUUUUCUUGCUUGGUUAAACUAAUUGCGCAUAUGAGUACCAUUGCCAGUCUUUAUUAGUUCAGUUUUUUUCCGGUUGAGUAUAAAGUUUCAGGUCGGAAGAUUGUUCUUCACUAUAUAACAAUAUUAGUGACAGUGAGUGCUUACCUCUCUUUUAGUAAGCUCAGUUUUGCAGAUACAUAAUUUGAUGCAUAGCUUCACUUGGACUCUAGCCUAUAUGAUCGUAUUCAGUGACCAGAAGAUACGAGAGAAUACAACAUGUUAUGUGCCCAUAUCCGCUUGAAGAGGAUAUAAAACAUGAUAUGUCACAUAGUUGCGGACACCAUCCAAUUUGUUACAUAGAUUUCUAUUUCUUUAUUUAUUUUGUAGUUUUAUUUUUGUACUGUUAUAUAAAGAAGGAAUGUGCAUUGUAGGAGGUUUGCUACAUGCUACAUAUGUCUUAUUAACUGGCAGUUAGUCAGCUUCUAUUCCAGUGCUGAGAAAUGGCACAAUUAUCUCAUGCCAUUUCAUGGGAGCAGCAGAAGUGGCAUAGAUGCAAUGGUGUGAAGCAAAAAACUAUUCAGUUCCAUAAAUAUGCACUUCCCAAGUUCCUUAUGCAAAUGAAAUGGCACACUUUUUCUUAUGCCCUCAUAUAGUGUGAAAAUUGAAGAUUAAAGAGUGAACGAUAGCAUGAUAUAACUCAAGUUCAUUGUAGGUAAAUCUUCUGCCAUAUGUAUGUGCAUAUCCCUUUUUAACAUUGAUUUCAUAUGAUGUAUUCUAUGUCAACAAUCCAUGUUGCUAUUAAUAGUUAUUUUUAUCUAUGGUUUGCAGUUGUAAAAAAUUCGUACGGGAGCAAGUAUUGCGAUCACAAUUACAGACAAGAUUCCUAAGUGCUUGACAAUGUGAGUGCUCGAGGUAAACUUGUGAUGUAAUCUUUUCAAUAGUUCCUUCAAGUUAAUCAUAUAUUAUUACUAAAAGUGCAUUAAGUCGACUAGAGGGGGGUGAAUAGGCGAUUUUUACAAAUUCGUCACAGAGGAAUUUCAAAGUGAUGAAAUUCCUAAGUCACGAGCAACUUAGCAGCGGAAUAAGUACUCAGAUGCAAGCAUAACAGAACAGUGGCACAGACAUCAUGAUGAAAUGAUAACAGGCACAGAGUACAAGAAGCGUAAACACAGGAUAAGCAGGUUGAAGACAAACUGACUGAAGAAAUUGAACUGAGGAAAUUGAGAAAAUCUUCAGUCAAAGUCUCCAAACAGUAACAAUCAGGUACAGCAACACAGUAAUGAGGAAAUGGAAGGGUUGAGAAAAUAGAACCAGUUAGCUCUGUGAAGACAAUGAUUUGGUAGACCAAUUCCAACUGCUGUUACAGUUGUACGACUAGUUGGAGCGGCUACGUCUUUAAACCUGAGGACACACAGUCCUCACCGUAUUCUCCUUGAGCUAAGGUCACACAGACCUCGCCCAAUCACUCGUGGUAAGUCUUCAGGUGACUUCCAAACCUUCACAAACUCGGUCGCUCGGCAAUCCAGAAUUUCCUCUUGGAUGCUCUAGACCAUGAUGCCUAACCGUCUGCAAGAUGCACAGUCUUCAAAGGUAACAAGUGUCGGUUCCACACAGGAACAAUCUCUUCAGUGAUGCUCAAUCACUUUGGGUUUGUAGGUGUUUGGGUUUGGGUUUUCCUCACUUGAUGAUUUUCGCUCAAAGUCCUCAGAGGAUGAGAUGCUCUCAAUGACAAGUGUCAGUUUCUCUCGGAGCAGCCAACCAACUAGUGGUCGUAGGGGCGACUAUUUAUAGCCUAGGGAGCAGUCCGACAUAAUAAGACAUAAAUGGCCUUCAAUGAUAUGACUGUUAGGUGGAUAAGAUAUAUUGGGACAGCUGGCGCAUAGCACAGCAACGGUCGGAAAUUUGGGUAUCAAAUUCUUCGGCGCUAUCAUGUUCCUCACUGGUAGGCAAUCCGCACUGGCGAAUUCCUAACUCCUCAGCCAGAACAAAUUCCUCAGAGAACAGAAGAACUUCGUCUGUGUCACUGAAGAAAUCGAUUGAACUGUAUGAGAUUUCCAAUGGCUUGACUCGAAGGGAUUGGUAGGUGUAGGAUUUUGAGAUGAGCAUCACUUGGAAACUUUUCCUAGUUUUACCUCAAACCUUGAAUCGCUUGAAUCGCUUGAAUCCACUUAGGCUCCAGAAAUGCCUCAUCUACUUUGGUGGGCUCUGUGAUCGAGACAAAAGCAAAGUGCCACAAAAGCUAGAUAAAUGUAAAGCCUUUGAGCGUGUGAGAGGACCUGGUGCAUUGAUGUCGUUGAUGAUUUUCUCGAUCUGCACUUCAUUUGCAACGCGAGGAUGAGCGGGUUGGCGAUGUUGAGUUGGCUCAACAUUUUCUUCAGAGCCAUUUUCUUCAGGUGUCCCAGCUUGUUGUUCUUCAUGUUCUGGAAUGACUUCUUCAGCAGAUUCUUCAGUAGGUAUGACAUCCUCAGUAGCCUUGAACUUGGUGGUUUCCUCAGGUGACUUUUCAUCUAACACAGGAGGUAAGUGCUCUCUUUGCGAGCAAUUAGUUUCAUCAAAUCGCACAUCUACAGUUUCAACAACCUUGUGAUGAACGGUGUUGAAGACUCUGUAGGUGUGCGAGUCCUUUCCGUAACCAAGCAUAAAACCUUCAUGUGCUUUCGGUGCAAAUUUAGAAUUGUGAUGAGGAUCUCUAAUCCAACAUUUAGCACCGAAGACUUUGAAAUAACUCACAUUGGGUUUCUUGUUAGUGAGGAGUUUGUAUGAGGUCUUUUUGAAGAAUUUGUGAAGAUAUACCAUGUUGAUGAUGUGGCACGCAAUAUCAAUUGCCUCAAUCUAGAAGUGACGAGGCGUCUUAUAUUCAUCGAGCCUAGUGCAAGCCAUCUCAACAAGAGUCUUGUUCUUGUGCUCCACGACGCCAUUCUGCUGAGGAGUGUAAGGAGCAGAUAACUCAUGAGUAAUACCAAGUUCAUCAAGAUAGUCAUCAAGACCAGUAUUCUUGAACUCGGUCCCAUUGUCACUUCUGAUGUGCUUGAUCUUCACACCAAAGUUGGUUGAAGCCCUUGAGGAAAAUCGUUUGAAGACUUCCUGCACUUCAUGUUUGUAAGUGACGAUAUGCAACCAUAUAUAAUGAGAAUAGUCAUCAACAAUAACAAAGCCAUAUAAAGAUGCUUCAUUGGUGAAUGAGGAAUAAUGAUUGGGGUCAAAGAGAUCCAUGUGAAGCAAUUCAAAUGGACGAGUGGUAGUCAUGAUAGUCUUUGAGGGAUGCUUGGCCUUGGUCAUCUUUCCAGCUUCACAAGCUCCGCACAGGUCAUCCUUGAGGAAUUUGACAUCCUCGAUGCCAAUGACAUGCUUCUUCUUCGCGUGAGUGUGCAAGUUCCUCAUGCCAGCAUGACCAAGUCGUCGACGCCAUAGCCAGCCUUCUGAAGCUUUUGCAAGUAGACAUGUAGCGGGUUGUGGUCCUGUAGAGAAAUCAACAAUGUACAAUUCUCCUCUCCUAAAGCCUUCGAAGACUUUCGAAUUGUCAGCUUCCAUGAUCACAACACAACGAUACUUGCCGAAGACAACAACCAUAUCAAGAUCACAAAGCAUUGAGACAGACAUGAGGUUGAAACCUAAGGACUCGACAAGCAUGACUUUGUCCAUGUGUCGAUCCUUUGAGAUCGCAACCUUACCUAGACCCAAUACCUUGCUUUUGCCUUUGUCAGCGUAGGUGAUAUGCUUCAGAUGCGAUGGAGAUAAAGCAGUGUCCAUCAAUAAGUUCCGAUCACCAGUCAUGUGAUUUGUACAUCCACUAUCGAGGACCCACUUAGUGGCUUUGGGUUGAUCAUCCUCCAGAUGAUUAGUGCAUCGUACGAACUCAUAUACUUCAUCAGUGAAGAAUAUGACAUCAUAUUCAUCGGAUCAAUUUCAUCAAGCAAUAGAACAGAUAAAACAAUAUGAGGACGUGAGAAAUGAAAAUUCAUUUCUUUAUGAUUAGCUUGCGUCCUUUCAAGCAUAUUCAGGUCUCCAGCAAAUUCUUUAGACGGUUAAGUUCGUCUGGAGACCUGACCCUGCAUGAGAGAUUAGUUCUUUUUCUUCACCACCCACAUCUGGAGGGGUGGCGAAGAGUUCACCAUUCUGCGAGCUCCAUAAGAGAAAGGUGGCAUAAAUGCUAAUCCACUUCGUUUCACAUAAGAGGGGUUAGGGUAAGCAUAUGAAUAAGCAGAGAAAUUCUUCGAGGACUUAUGAACAUAAUGAUUUGAAGAAUAAUGCACAUAUUCAUAACCCUUUGUCUUUCCCUAUGAGACAUAAGUGUUAGCAUGAUGAUGUUCAUAUGAGGACUUUGAGCCAUAUGAGGAAUUUGAUCCACGUGAGGAAUGUGGUCCAUAUGAGGACUUGGAUCCAUAUGAAGACUUUGGUCCAUAUGAAGAAUUUGAUCUAGGUUCCUAUUCUUCACAGGUGGUGUCAUGAUGACAUUCACCUGAAGACUUUCAUGGCACCUUUUGGGAACCCAGAUUUUCUUCAUAGGGGGACCGUUCCUGCAGUUAGUGCCAUAUCUAUCAAAUACUUCACCAUUCUGAUUUUUUAACAAUUUAUAAUUGGAGUCAAAUGACUCAUCAUAAGAAUAUGAAGAUUCACAUGUAAAACCAGAUAAAGUAGAUGGAUCUACGGGAGGUCCCUUUGUAGCAACCCAUGAGGUUUUGUGAUACUGCUCAGGUUUCCAGUAGGUCCCAUCAGCAUUGAGUUUCCUCUCAAAGGCAAUACCCUCUUUCCUAGGGUUCCUAUUGAGGAUCUGCUUUUUAAGCACAUCACAAAAUGCCUGAUUCUCUUUGAGGCUUUUGUACAUGCAUGUCACAUACAAUUCCUUCAGCCCUGCAUAGUCAGUGAUACUAGUAGCAUCCUCAGUUGAGCAAUUUGUGAUAGCAGAAACAAUUGAAGAAUUUGCAGCUGAUCUUCAUAACUCAUCCUUAGCUUCUGAAGAUCUUGCUUUCUUUGAAGAAAUUCAUAAGAAAGCUUCUCAUGAUCAGAUAAGAGAGUGUUAUGAUGACUUUGAAGGUUGCCAAACUUAGACUAAAGUCUCUGAAGAUUUUCAUUCAAAGUUUUAAUGCGAUCCAUUUCUUCACCCAACAAAUCAUCGCUCUCAUCUAGCAUGUUUUGAACUUUUUCCAAAGCUCUUUGUUGUUUAGUGGCAAGGGAAGCAAGUUUGGUAUAGUUGGGUCCAAAUUCAAAACCAGACUCAUCAUCACUAGACUCAGAUAGGUAGCAUUCAGUUACCUUGGCACCUUUCGCCAUAAGGCAUGUUGCAGAGGAUGAAGAUUCUGGUUUGAAAGUCAUCACCUUGAGUGAUUCCUUGAAAUCCUCAAACCAGGGAUCAUGACGAGUUCGAUGACCUUCAUUGACCUCAGAGAGUCAGUCCUAGAUAAGCUUCGCGUGGCAGAGGUGCAUAAUGUUCCUGAACUGAUUUUGAGACACACAGGAGCAGAUGAUGUCCUUCGCCGUGAGGUUUAGCAGAGUGUACUUUCGAAUGUCAUCAGCCUCUGCCAUCUUGCAUAGAUCGGUAAGACCAAUCUGAGUGACAGUCCAUAGUUCGCUAUUCAUCGCCAUGAGGCGCUUCUUCAUCAUGGCCUUCCACUUGGGAUAAUCAUGACCUUCAAAGAUCGGACAUGACACAGUCUUCAUUCCUACGGUCGACAUAACUAAAACUGCAUGCAGUUAAACCAAAAUCACACAGAACAAGGGAGUACCUUGCUCUGAUACCAAUUGAAAGUGCGUUAAGUCGACUAGAAGGGGGUGAAUAGGCAAUUUUUACAAAUUCUUCACUGGGGAAUUUCACAGUGAGGAAAUUCCUAAGUCACGAACAACUUAGCAGCGACAUAAUUACUCAGAUGCAAGCAUAACAGAACAAUGGCACAGACGUCAUGAUGAAAUGAUAAUAGGCACAGAGUACAAGAAGCGUAAACACAGGAUAAGCGGGCUGAAAACAAACUGACUGAAGAAAUUGAACUGGGGAAAUUGAGAAAAUCUUCAGUGAAAGUCUUCAAACAGUAACGAUCAGGUACAACAACACAGUAAUGAGGAAAUAGAAGGGUUGAGGAAAUAGAACCAGUUAGCUCGGUGAAGACAAUGAUUUGGUAGACCCGUUCCAACUACUAUGACAUAUGUAUGUCUGGUUGGAGCGGCUAGGUAUUUAAACCUGAGGACACAAAGUCCCGGACGCACAGUCCUCACCGUAUUAUCCUUGAGCUAAGGUCACACAGACUUCACCCAAUCACUCAUGGUAAGUCUUCAGGUGACUUCCAAACCUUCACAAACUAGGUCACUCGGCAAUCCACAAUUUCCUCUUGGAUGCUCUAGACCAUGAUGCCUAACCAUCUGGAAGAUGCACAGUCUUCAAAGGUAACAAGCGUCAGUUCCACACAAGAACAAUCUCUUCAAUGAUGCUCAAUCACUUUGGGUUUGUAGGUGUUUGGGUUUGGGUUUUCCACACUUGAUGAUUUUCGCUCAAAGUCCUCGGAGGAUAGGAUGCUCUCAAUGACAAGUGUCAGUUUCUCUCGGAGCAGCCAACCAGCUAGUGGUUGUAGGGGGCGGCUAUUUAUGGCCUAGGGAACGGCCCAACAUGAUAAGACAUAAAUGCCCUUCAAUGAUAUGAACGUUAGGUGGAUAAGAUAUUCUGGGACAGCUGGCAUAAUACUGCAACAGUCAGAAAUUUUGCUAUAAAAUUCCUGAGGGCUAUCAUGUUCCUCGCUGGUAGGCAAUCCGCACUGGCGAAUUCCUAACUCCUCAGUCAGAAAAAAUUCCUCAGGCAACAGAAGAACUUCGUCUCUGUCAGUGAAGAAAUCAACUUAACUGUAUGAGAUUUCCAAUGGCUUCACUCGAAGGGAUUGGUAGGUGUAGGAUUUUGAGAUGAGCAUCACUUGGAAACUUUUCCUUAGUUUUACCUCGACCCCCUUUAACAGUAUGAUGUUUCCUAUGACUCAAGAAAAAAAGAAAAUGAAACUACUAAAACAAAAGUCUUCACGCUUCAUGUUCCUCGGACGAAUAUCAAGUCUUCAAGGUCAAACCAAUUUCUUCACUUUCAAAGUCUUCAGUUGAAGACAUUCAUUUUUAGGGGUCGACUUUCUCUUUAAAUAUCAAACUCCUCAUAGACUUAUAGACCUGUGUACACUCAUCAACACAUUAGUCCCUUACCUAUAAGUCUUUAAUACACCAAAAUCACUAAGGGGCACUAGAUGCACUUACAGUUACAGUAGUUUCUUCUCCUUUAUAUUAAGACAAUCUGCUUAUGGGAGAUAUAACUUCAUGCAGACCUAUGACUUCGAAUAAAUUUGACCUAUGGGUGACAUGAACAUCUGCGGUAAGAACGACAAUGUGAUGCUCAUGGAAGUUGAGGUCAAGGAAGUGAAUACACCGAUGAUGCAUCAAUAGAUGUAUAAAUUGUGCUUGCAUGAGCAUAUUGUGGUAACAACGGGGAGGUGAUCAAGAGCAUCAACAACCUCUUUACCGGGAUCUUUCUCGCCGCAACUAAAAACAACAGUUAUUACCAGCUUGUGGGGUAGCUCCUGGGGCGUUGGAACCUUGUUGAGAAGAAGAACAAACUGUUAAUGGAGUUGUUCAACGAGGACGAGAGGAGCGGCCACAGCAAGGAUCAAAAGAAGGCAGAGUUCGACUCCACUAGCUGCCAACUCCGACGGGGGGAGGAGAAGAAAAAAAGGAUUGAUUUAAUGGUGAAAGAAACUUGAAAGCUUGUAUUAACUAUUAAAUUAUAUGUGCCCCCGUUGCAACACACGUUAGAUUAGUACACUGUCAUAUUUUCAGAAAAUUGCAGAACUAGCGAUACACCUGUCUCACAAAUAUUACGCCGAUUGUUCAGUACUUUUUUCCAAGCAUUCAGCUUUUGACUUCUUAGAAGAGAGUGCAGAGGAAUGAAUAUUUAGUGAUGGUGGCUAGGCAUUGUGAGGUUGUUGAGGGGAGGGGGCAUUUCUUGUAUUUCUAGCACACUUUCUUGUUUUUCAUGUAUUUAUAGACAAUUCUUUUCAAUACUAUGAUUGCCACUCUAGCUGUGUGCCUCACUGAACUAUGAGUAUUAUCCUCUUUGAUUGGAGCAGAAUUGUCGUACAAAAAAAAUUUAUAGGUGAUAUUCGUUGUUUCUCCUCUUAACUAUGUAUAUGGAACAAUGGAUCGCACAUAUUCCUGGAAGCUAGAUUCUCUUCACAUUUAUGCAUAGUCUUGCUGGGAUGCAGUUUUAGUAAGAAGAUAUAUUUCUUUCCAUUUAUGUAUUCUUGCUUGGAGAGAAAAAAAGCCUGAUAAUAGGCAUUUUUAUAUAAGUUUUUUUUUGCAAAAUGGAACAUAAACUAACUAUCGUUUUUGUUUUCUUACUUGUAGCGCAAAAUGUGAGAGCUUAUAUACUCACAUAAAACAAGUAGGUGUUAUGAAUUCCAUCAGUGUUGAUGUUGUAUGUCUAAUUAUUGUUGCCGUAGAUGUCAUCUAUAAACAACAAAAUUAUUUUUCAACUUUUUCUUGAGUUAACUGUUAAUGAGCACGGGAGCUCGGACGAUGCCAUACCAUAGCUUAUGCCACCUCAUUAUGAUGCGCUAUUUGUUUGUUUUUUGAAUUUUCAAACGCGCGCACGGGGGAGGGGGGUCCCCUACCUUAAUAUGUUGAUCAAAGUGGGCUACUUGUUUUACAUAGAUCCAUAGAACCAUUCAAUUCUUCUACUAUUCAUGCUAGCUGCAAGUGGUGUUCUAGCAUCUGCAGACCUUUAUUUGUUGAAAUAAUGAAAUAGCUUUCUAUCAUUACAGUUUUACAUGAAUCGGUGAUGUCUAAUUCAAAUAGUAUGUUUGUAGAGAACCAAGUGCCCUAACCAACACUAUAAAGAGAUCAUGUGAAAGUGGUAUUUGAGCAACAAUAAACCUGUGUCAUACAUUUUGUCUUGUACCUAAUAUCUCCGAUCAUUGUUGUUUUUUAUGUUAAAGUUUAUCUGUAUUGCAUUAUGAUGGUCCAUGUAAACAUACUUGGACGAGUUGCCAACCCAAUAAGAAGUUUGCUUUGUUUUUGUUGCUACCGCCUACUUUUUAAGCAUUCGAUGGGGAUGACUAAUGUAGUCAUUUUACCUUCUUACUAAAAUAGAAAAGAAAAAACAAUCAAUAGUAUUUGCUUGCUUUAAGUCAUCAAAUACUUUUCGUUGUGAUCUAUAAUUCAUUUUUUUAUUGAGUGCAUGUUGAGGUAGCAUUAUCUUUUUAUCUAGAAAGUUUGCUAUAGGCAUGUAGUGAAUUACAUCUGAAGGCGUUUUGCCACCCAUGUGCCUUGUUGCUCACCUACCAUGACGCACAGGCUCACUCCGAAUACGAGUUAGUGGAUUCAUGAUAAGAGUGAGGGUUGAGAGUGAGUGGGAUGUGGGUUGGGGUUGGUCAAAUGUGGUAAAUUGCAUUUCAGUAGAGAUGGUUUUGUGGCAAAUUGCAUGAGCGAGUGCUCCAUAUUUUUUUCAUCAAGUCAUAUAAUUUUUUGGUUAGGAUAUAAUGGUAAAUGCAUUGGUUGGUUCCUUCAAGAGUUAAUAACGGACACAGUGGCGUAUCAGUUGCAUGCCCAACAACGGACAUCAUAUUUUUGUUUCCUAGUAAUGAACGACAUUCAACUAUAUGUUACAACAUGUCAAUGGCUCAGGAGACAUUGGAUCUACCUUCUUCGCUCGAAAGGCAUUACGGGUGGUGCACACCUCCUCCCGUUUGAUGGCGACGGCGGAUCGACACGAACACUGGGGAAGGGUAUCAUGACGUAGAGCGGGGCUGUUGGCGGGGGACUCCUGUCCAUGGGGAAGUACAGUGUCAAGGAGAUAGGGUGCCAUGCCAAAGGUGCGGUGGGCGUCAUCUAAUUUUGAAGGAGAGGGCUCUAGCGAGAAAUGUCCCGCUAUGAUAGAAAAGCGAGAGAGAAUUGGAGGGUGACAUGAAAAUGGAAGAGUGCGUCGUAGGGCGGGUUUUUUGUGUUGGGACUGCAUGUUGGUGAUAACAUGUCAGAUAGGCCGGUAAACACAUUUCUCUCCUACAUAUGGGCUAAAUUGAUGGAGCCUGCACAUGCUUGGCUCUAUGAGAGAGAAAUGAGUUUCAACCUUGAAGACAACCUUAAUUUUUUAUUUUAUUUAUAUGCAUUGUAGUCCGUAGCAAUGCACGGGCAUUCUACUAGUUAACAUUCAAAUUUUAGUGAGAAUGGAUUCAAAAUCUAAAAGAAAAAACGAAAAAGAAAAGGACAGAAUGCAAAAAUAAGAGAAAAAAUCAACACAAGACAUGAGGAUUAGGAAACCACUCGAAGGAACACAGGCUAGGACGACGCAUUAGCAAGUGCUAAACUACAAACUUUAAUCCCGUUGGCUGCACUUACACAAAUAUAUUCUAGAUAUUCUAUAUACUUGGAAGUAAUCUGCAUUAGCAUACAAUUGUGUUUACUUUAAGAGUCCAUGACAACAUGGUUUUAAAUUAUUAUGUGUGCAUGCAGACUUAUCCAGUUUGGAGACACUCAAUGUUUAGUCGUGCUCAUCUUAACAUUUAAUUAUGCAAAUUAUAUUGAUAUUACACCGUCCUUUCUCAUAUGUACUUAUAUUUUUUCAAUCUCGCAAAGAAUUGAAAAAGGAAGCUUUUGUUUAUGACGACAAUAGAAUCGAAAAAGAGGCAUACUCAGUAGGUAAUGUAGAUUCGUAACAGGUCUGAUCCACAUACCCAUUCCUGAAGAUCACCAGGUCCUUAUGAU